AUACGGAGGAUGCGAGCGUUAUCCGGAUUUAUUGGGUUUAAAGGGUGCGUAGGCUGUGCGUUAAGUCAGGGGUGAAAUGCCGUCGCUCAACGACGGAGCUGCCCUUGAUACUGGCGUGCUGGAGUACGGAUGCCGUUGGAGGAAUGAGUGGUGUAGCGGUGAAAUGCUUAGAUAUCACUCAGAACACCGAUUGCGAAGGCAUCGGACGAAUCCGUCACUGACGCUGAGGCACGAAAGCGUGGGGAUAGAACAGGAUUAGAUACCCUGGUAUUCCACGCCGUAAACGAUGAUGACUAACCGUCGGCGAUAGACAGCCGGUGGCCAAGCGAAAGCGAUAAGUCAUCCACCUGGGGAGUACGUCGGCAACGAUGAAACUCAAAUGAAUUGACGGGG
rnacentral:rRNA from 1 species